GAUGAACGCUGGCGGCGUGCCUAAUACAUGCAAGUCGAGCGAACGGAUGAGAAGCUUGCUUCUCUGAUGUUAGCGGCGGACGGGUGAGUAACACGUGGAUAACCUACCUAUAAGACUGGGAUAACUUCGGGAAACCGGAGCUAAUACCGGAUAAUAUUUUGAACCGCAUGGUUCAAAAGUGAAAGACGGUCUUGCUGUCACUUAUAGAUGGGUCCGCGCUGCAUUAGCUAGUUGGUAAGGUAACGGCUUACCAAGGCAACGAUGCAUAGCCGCCCUGAGAGGGUGAUCGGCCACACUGGAACUGAGACACGGUCCAGACUCCUACGGGAGGCAGCAGUAGGGAAUCUUCCGCAAUGGGCGAAAGCCUGACGGAGCAACGCCGCGUGAAUGAUGAAGGUCUUCGGAUCGUAAAACUCUGUUAUUAGGGAAGACCAUAUGUGUAAUUAACUGUGCACAUCUUGACGGUACCUAAUCAGAAAGCCACGGCUAACUACGUG
rnacentral:rRNA from 1 species